rnacentral:rRNA from 1 species
GACGAACGCUGGCGGCGGGCUUAACACAUGCAAGUCGAACGGAAGGGCCCUGCUUUUGUGGGGUGCUCGGGGGGCGAACGCGUGAGUAACACGUGAGUAACCUGCCCUUGACUUUGGGAUAACUUCAGGAAACGGGGGCUAAUACCGGAUAGCAGCUGCUGCUGCAUGGUGGGGGUUGGAAAGUUUCGGCGGGUGGGGAUGGACGCGCGGCUUAUCAGCUUGUUGGUGGGGUAGUGGAUUACCAAGGCUUUGAAGGGUAGGCGGCAGGAGAGGGUGGCCGGGCACAAUGGGACUGCGGUACGGACCAGUCGGCUAUGGGAGGCAGUAGUGGGGAAUAUUGCACAACCGGCGGGAGCCGGAUGAAGCAACGCCGCGUGCGUGAUGACGGUCUUCGGGUUGUGAACCGCUUUCGCUUGUGACGAAGCGGGAGUGACGGUAAUGGGUAAAGAAGCACCGGCUAACUACGUG